UUCGCUGUGGACUCGCUGGAGCUUCGCCUAGCGAGUGAGUGCUAGCUGUGUUUUUCACCAAAACAGAAUGAGUUCGCUAUUACCUUCGCCUUGAGCUCGCCUAGCGAAUUAAUUUACCAAUUUCCUGGAGCUGUUCGCCUUGAGCUCGCCUAGCGAACCAGAGCUUCGCCACUGCCUCGCCUAGCGAGCAAGGCAGAAGAAGUGUUUAUGCA
rnacentral:lncRNA from 1 species